GAUAUUUGAAGACAGUGUUGAUCGACACUCCUCUAGUGUCGGUCGACACCAAUGCUGAUUCAACAAAGCCGACCAAUAUUUCAAGAAUUUCACUUUGGUCCAAAAGUUUCCAUAUUUGUAAGAAGACCCAUGGCGAGUUUUAGACCUAUUUUAUGUUUUUAAGUUGUUAGCACACUUUUAGUGCCGGUCGACACCCAUGCUGAUUUGAAAAAGCUGACCCAUAUUUCAAGAAAUGCACUUUGGCCCAUAAGUUUCCAUAUUUUUAAGA
rnacentral:lncRNA from 1 species